rnacentral:rRNA from 1 species
AAUCAACGCUGGCGGCGUGCCUCAGACAUGCAAGUCGAACGAUUAAGACUUCCUUCGGGAAGUGCAUAAAGUGGCGCACGGGUGAGUAACACGUAAGUAAUCUACCCUCGAGUGGGGAAUAACGUUCGGAAACGGACGCUAAUACCGCAUAACGCAGCGGCACCGCAAGGUGACAGUUGUUAAAGGAGCAAUCCGCUUGAGGAGGAGCUUGCGGCAGAUUAGCUAGUUGGUAAGGUAAUGGCUUACCAAGGCUACGAUCUGUAUCCGGUCUAAGAGGACGGUCGGACACACUGACACUGAAUAACGGGUCAGACUCCUACGGGAGGCAGCAGUCGGGAAUUUUGGGCAAUGGGCGAAAGCCUGACCCAGCAACGCCGCGUGAAGGAUGAAGUAUUUUCGGUAUGUAAACUUCGAAAGAAUAGGAAGAAUAAAUGACGGUACUAUUUAUAAGCUCCGGCUAACUACGUG